CCCGGCAGCUAGCAACUUUCACAUGGUCACCCAACCAAGCUAAGCAGGGCUGUGCCCGGUCAGUACCUGGAUGGGGGACCACAUGGGAAAGCUAGGUUGCUGCCGGAU
rnacentral:rRNA from 1 species